AAUGAACGUUGGCGGCGUGGAUUAGGCAUGCAAGUCGAGCGAGAAAUCCCCUUUCGGGGGGAUGGAAAGCGGCAAACGGCGUAGUAAGGCGUAGGUUACGUGCCCCCAGGACCGGGAUAGCCGCGGGAAACUGCGGGUAAUACCGGAUAACCUCUCCGGAGCAAAUGGUGAGAUUCCGCCUGGGGAGCGGCUUGCGCGGUAUUAGGUAGUUGGUGAGGUAAUGGCCCACCAAGCCUGUGAUGCCUAGGGGGUGUGAGAGCAUGACCCCCACGACUGGGACUGAGACACUGCCCAGACACCUACGGGUGGCUGCAGUCGAGAAUCUUCGGCAAUGGACGAAAGUCUGACCGAGCGACGCCGCGUGCGGGAUGAAGGCCCUUGGGUUGUAAACCGCUGUCAGAGGGGAUGAAAUUCCACAGGGUUCUCCCUGCGGAUUGACAAAGCCUCAGAGGAAGCACGGGCUAAGUACGUGCCAGCCGCCGCAGUAAAAC
rnacentral:rRNA from 1 species